UAUGUGAUCGUCUCUCGCAUAUCAAUAAGCGGAGGAAAAGAAACUAACAAGGAUUCCCCUAGUAACGGCGAGUGAAGCGGGAAGAGCUCAAAUUUGAAAUCUUAAAGGGUUUCCCUUUACGAAUUGUAGUUUAAAGAAGUGUUUUCUGUUGAGGUUUUGGUAAAAGUUCUUUGGAAUAGGACAUCUUAGAGGGUGAGAAUCCCGUAUUUGACCUUUACUUUCAACUUUGUGAUACACUUUCAAAGAGUCGGAUUGUUUGGGAAUGCAGUCCAAAAUGGGUGGUAAAUUUCAUCUAAAGCUAAAUAUUGGCGAGAGACCGAUAGCGAACAAGUACCGUGAGGGAAAGAUGAAAAGAACUUUGAAAAGAGAGUUAAACAGUACGUGAAAUUGUCAAAAGGGAAGCGUUUGACACCAGUGUUGUUUUUCUGAAAAUCAAUUAAAGAACUGUUUAUGCUAAGUUGUUUAGACUUUAUCAGCUAACUGUUUAGUUUUGAGCUUUUCUUUAAUGCACUUUUCAGUUAACAAGUCAACAUCAAUUUCUUUUGCUGUAAAAAAGCUUGAGGAAGGUGGCUUGAGAUUCGUCUUAAGUGUUUAUAGCCUCUUGCCUAUGCAGUCGGAGAGAUUGAGGUCUGCAGCGUAGAUCCUUCGGGGCUAAAUGCAUUUGUGCUAAGUUAUAGCAUUUUAUAGACAACUUGUUGACUAUGAUUUGUCUUGUAGCUUACUCGCUUAUGUUAUUUUACCUACGCUUAGGAUGUUGACACACGCGCGUGCUCG
rnacentral:rRNA from 1 species